rnacentral:lncRNA from 1 species
CUCCUUGUUGGAAAAAUAUCUUCAGUAGUCAAGAAUGUAAAAGCAGUGUCUGAUGUGGUCAUUAGAAGGAUGAGCAAAAGUAUGAGAAGAGAUUGGAGGGGUCCAGGAAGAGCAUCUCUUAGAAAGGCUUGACUUGAAACCCAUGGCAACCAAGGGAAAAAGAUUAUUUCAUGUGAUCACCAUGAACCCAGUCGUUAUCUAUUCAGAAACAGGAAUAAUGCUACUAUACAGUCCUAUGCGUUACUGAUUUCAAAACACUUUUCAAAGAUAAGAUGAGAUUUCAUGACAAGUUGGGUCAUACCAAUGUGAAGACAGCAAAGAGGAUAUCACAUGCUCUAGGGAUGGCAUCCCACUUACAUGGUCUAUCUACCACAGUGACUUUUGGAUAUCCAAGAUUCUGGUAAGCAGGCUAACUUCCUCCCAUUGUUUAAAAGACACAAAUGAAACAGAAGGACAGUAUGUCUAUUAACUGCCGUGUGGUGCUUUGGACUUUGCUCUUAAGUCAUUCCUCACUCAGCCUCCCAUACUCCCAGACCCACAGAAGAUGGCUCAAAAACUGCUGAGGUCAAGGUUCAUUUUUUAAAUUUUAUUUAUUUAUUUACUUUUGGUUUUUCAAGACAGGGUUUCUCUGUGUAGCCCUAACUGUCCUGGAUCUAGCUCUU